rnacentral:rRNA from 1 species
AUACGGAGGAUCCGAGCGUUAUCCGGAUUUAUUGGGUUUAAAGGGUGCGCAGGCGGCCAUUUAAGUCAGCGGUUAAAUCGUGGGGCUCAACCCCAUUCUGCCGUUGAUACUGGGUGGCUUGAUUGCGGUCGAGGUUGGCGGAAUUCGUUGUGUAGCGGUGAAAUGCAUAGAUAUGACGAAGAACACCGAUUGCGUAGGCAGCUGACCAGACCGCAAAUGACGCUCAUGCACGAAAGUGCGGGGAUCGAACAGGAUUAGAUACCCUGGUAGUCCGCACAGUAAACGAUGAAUACUCGCUGUUUGCGAUAUACAGUAAGCGGCCAAGCGAAAGCAUUAAGUAUUCCACCUGGGGAGUACGCCGGCAACGGUGAAACUCAAAGGAAUUGGCGGGG